CCUACGGGAGGCAGCAGUGGGGGAUAUUGCACAAUGGGGGGAACCCUGAUGCAGCGACGCCGCGUGGGUGAAGGAGGGCUUCGGCAUGUAAAGCUCUAUCGGCAGGGAAGAAGCAAGACGGUACCUGACUAAGAAGCCCCGGCUAACUACGUGCCAGCAGCCGCGGUAAUACGUAGGGGGCGAGCGUUAUCCGGAUUCACUGGGUGUAAAGGGAGCGUAGACGGCCAUGCAAGCCAGAGGUGAAAGCCCGGGGCUCAACCCCGGGACUGCCCUUGGAACUGCAUGGCUUGAGUGCGGGAGGGGUAGGCGGAAUUCCUGGUGUAGCGGUGAAAUGCGUAGAUAUCAGGAGGAACACCGGCGGCGAAGGCGGCCUGCUGGGCUGCAACUGACGUUGAGGCUCGAAAGCGUGGGGAGCGAACAGGAUUAGAUACCCGUGUAGUC
rnacentral:rRNA from 1 species